UACGUAGGGUGCAAGCGUUUGUCCGGAAUUAUUGGGCGUAAAGAGCUCGUAGGCGGCUUGUUGCGUCAGCUGUGAAAACCCGCGGCUCAACCGCGGGCCUGCAGUCGAUACGGGCAGGCUAGAGUUCGGUAGGGGAGACUGGAAUUCCUGGUGUAGCGGUGAAAUGCGCAGAUAUCAGGAGGAACACCGAUGGCGAAGGCAGGUCUCUGGGCCGAUACUGACGCUGAGGAGCGAAAGCGUGGGGAGCGAACAGG
rnacentral:rRNA from 1 species